AGUGAACGCUGGCGGUAGGCCUAACACAUGCAAGUCGAACGGCAGCACAGUAAGAGCUUGCUCUUACGGGUGGCGAGUGGCGGACGGGUGAGGAAUACAUCGGAAUCUACUUUUUCGUGGGGGAUAACAUAGGGAAACUUACGCUAAUACCGCAUACGACCUACGGGUGAAAGCAGGGGAUCUUCGGACCUUGCGCGAUUGAAUGCGCCGAUGUCGGAUUAGCUAGUUGGCGGGGUAAAGGCCCACCAAGGCGACGAUCCGUAGCUGGUCUGAGAGGAUGAUCAGCCACACUGGAACUGAGACACGGUCCAGACUCCUACGGGAGGCAGCAGUGGGGAAUAUUGGACAAUGGGCGCAAGCCUGAUCCAGCCAUACCGCGUGGGUGAAGAAGGCCUUCGGGUUGUAAAGCCCUUUUGUUGGGAAAGAAAAGCAGCAGGUUAAUACCCCGCUGUUCUGACGGUACCCAAAGAAUAAGCACCGGCUAACUUCGUG
rnacentral:rRNA from 1 species